AUUGUACUCCCUCCAUUCGGAAUUACUUGUCUCGGAAAUGGAUGUAUCUAAACAUAUUUUAGUUCUAGAUACAUCCAUUUCCGAGACAAGUAAUUUCGAACGGAGGGAGUAUGAA
rnacentral:pre_miRNA from 1 species